rnacentral:sRNA from 1 species
GUUGGGCAUGGUGGCACAUGCCUGUAAUCCCAGUGGCUUGGGAGGCUGAGGCAGGAGGAUUGAGAGUUCAAAGCCAGCCUCAG